rnacentral:rRNA from 1 species
GACGAACGCUGGUGGCGUGCUUAACACAUGCAAGUCGAACGGGAUUUAGUAAACAGAAGCCUCGGUGGAAGAUUACUAAUGAGAGUGGCGAACGGGUGAGUAACGCGUGAGCAACCUGCCUAUGACAGUGGGAUAGCCUCGGGAAACCGGGAUUAAUACCGCAUAAAAUCGUAGAAACACAUGUUUUAACGGUCAAAGAUUUAUCGGUCAUAGAUGGGCUCGCGUCUGAUUAGCUAGUUGGUGAGAUAACAGCCCACCAAGGCGACGAUCAGUAGCCGGUCUGAGAGGAUGAAUGGCCACAUUGGAACUGAGACGCGGUCCAAACUCCUACGGGAGGCAGCAGUGGGGAAUAUUGCACAAUGGGGGAAACCCUGAUGCAGCGACGCCGCGUGAACGAAGAAGGUAUUCGUAUCGUAAAGUUCUGUCCUAUGGGAAGAUAAUGACAGUACCAUAGAAGAAAGCUCCGGCUAAAUACGUG